AGCAGGAAGAUAAUGUGGUUUGAUGCAAUGGCCCAACACAAUAGAAGCUAAUGAAUAGAGCGUGUUGCACUCGAGAGACUGCAGUUCAAUUACUGGUGGUGCCAAUCAAGUCGGGAAUAUUAACCAUAUGGCUGAAAUUUAUUAAGCUUCAGGCCAAUGUUCAUACAUUUGAAAUGAUGUCAGAGCUCAGAAGACAGAAUCACUUAAUCUCCUACAGAAGACUGAGAAAGAAGAAGACAGUCCCAUGGGAGGGCACAUGGCCAUUGUAAUAUGCUGAGGAGAAGGAGAUAAGAAAAGGCGGAGUCCUAGAUAGAGAAGAGGCUGUGAUUGCCCUGGCUUUCUGCACAUUUCUCUCAGAUUCCUGACAUGCUGCCCAACUCAUCCUAUCCAACCAGUCAAUGUUGAGUGAUCAUUGGAAGAAAUAUAAUAAAAGAAUUUCAGAUUU
rnacentral:lncRNA from 1 species